AAAUGGUUCUCUUAUGAGAUGAAAGACUAAGGGUGAAAUAAUGCUUAUAUGAUGCUUAUGUUGGAGACUUUACUUAUGAUUAUGAUAUUGUCUCUUAUGCUUAUAGUUGAUUUUUCAUGAAGUAUUGGAUUAUGUCUUAUGUUGACUAACCCUUAUGAAAUUAUGCUCUUGUGAUGUUGUGUUAGCUUUCAUAUUCAGUACUUUUGUACUAAUGAAUACUUUGCCUACAUUCUAAUCAAAUGUAGGGUUUGGAGAUUGAGUUCCAUUCUUGAGGAUAGGUUUCUAAGGAGCAAGGAAUUGAACAUUUGGGUGAGUCCUCAUAGCUUCGAGGACAAAGCCAUUAUUUCCUUUAUCUCUUUUACUUUCAUGUCAUGAGACUAUUGUAUGGGCUGCGUCCCAAAGGUUUUUAAUUCAAAGUUGAGUUUAGAUGGUUUGAGACAACGUGUAGUAAAGACUUCGGCUUGCUUUAUAAAAGACUUCGAUUGUAUGGAUAAAGUUUCUUUAAAAUUUCUGUACUUUUAUAUUAUCUUAUACUAUGAUACACUAAGGGCUUGUAUCAGACCCUUUCGGGGUCAAGUACGCUGUGUUACUUCUAGGGUGUACCCCUGGGUUGUAACGAACUUGGUAAUCAGAGAACAAGGUUUAAAAUGGUUCUAGGAUUGUCUCAAACCACGUCUAGUAGAGUCUUGUUUAUAAAUGUGAAGUGCACCACAUUUAUGAAUAGGAGGCUAUUGGAUGUUUAGGAAAUCUCACUUUUUCAUUCUCUAAGUUGUGCCAUAGAGUUUGGCUCUAGUAUGUCCUUCUUCUAAUCUGUGUCCUAUGAUUUUUCAGGGUAUGGCUAAUACAAGGUCAAAUGCUAGGAGAGAUGAGGAAGGCAAUAUGGAUCAAGAGAUUCCUCUCCAAGUUCCACCCAAGUCCCUCCUCAAGCUAAUCAAGCUCCAAUAAUCCUCUGGCUAUGUCAGAUGUGGAGGUUAGGUCGGCUUUUCUAAUGUUGGCCCAAGCCAUGAUGGCCCAAGCCAAUAGAGGGAUGGUAGCUCCGGUGAAACCUAAUGUGAAUUCCGCGACUUUGAGGGUGAGAGAGUUUUUGAGGAUGAACCCUCCGAAAUUUUAUGGCUCCAAAGUGGAGGAAGAUCCUCAAGGUUUUAUAGAUGAGGUGUAUAAGGUGCUUGCUAUCAUGGGAUUGACUUCAGUAGAGAAAGCGGAUCUAGCCACUUAUCAAUUGAGAGAUGUAGCACAAAUAUGGUAUGAACAAUGGAAAGGCAAUAGGCCAGUAGAGGCGGGCCCAAUAGAGUGGGAAGAGUUCAAAGAAGCAUUCUUUGAUAGGUUCUUUCCUCUAGAGUUGAGGGAACGAAAGAUGCAAUAAUUCAUUAACCUUCGUCAAGGAGGUAUGAAUGUGAAAGAGUAUGCUCAUAAGUAGUCGAUGAAUGUCGUUCGGCAAUGUUUAUCCUUAGUGUGAAUAUUUUAAGUCUUAUGGUCCAUGCCGAACAAAUUGAGGAGUAAAAAUUCAAGCGAGUGAAUAGGGAGAUGAAGAGGGUUAGGACCAAUGAGGGGAACUUUUCUAAUGCUAAGUCCGAUGGGCAAGGUAGACCUAAGUCUAAACAAAGGUAUUCUGAUCAAGAUUCUUUCAACACCCCUAGGUUUGACCAAGAGAAAGGUAGUGGGUCUUCAUUACCUAAGUCUACUUGCACCAAGUGUGGAAGGAGUCAUUAUGGUAAGUGCCUAGCCGGCAUGGAUGGUUGUUAUAGGUGUGGGAAGAGUGGGCACAAAAUGAUAGAUUGCCCAGUGCUUAAGGCCAUGGGAAGGGAGGAUAAGCAAGUUGCCUCUAGUGGUAUAGAUGUGGAGCCUCAAAAGAAAAUUAGGUUCUAUAACCUCCAAGCUAAGAAUGAUCAAGAGUGACAUCCUAGUGUGGCUACCAGUAUGUGUUUCAUGCUUUAUUGUGUUCUGAUAUUAUUUGGUCCUUUAUGUAUGUGUUGCCAUGAUUUCCUUAUAUGCAUGUUCAUGAAAAAGUUUAGGUCUUGAUAGAAAUGACUUAUGUGCUUUGCUUUGCCUCAUGUUGUAGUGCAUCGAGUAGAGUUUCUUAUUUGACUACAUGAGAUAAAUAUAUGAGCAUGCCUUAGUCGGAGUUGAAAGAUUCCUCCUUGAAUAAAAUGUUUUUUAAGAGUAAAUUGCAUUUAGGCUCCAUGAGCGUAAAUUGACCAUGUUCAAGCUAGGAGAUGGUAGUUCCUCCUUAAAUAUGAGUAGAUAUAGAAUUUUAUGCAAUCUUGGGUUGUUAGAUGUAGUUCCUACUCCCAUGUGUUGCAUUGAGCAUGUUUAGUUUGGAAUUUAAGUUUUCCCUCAUUUGUUCAUGUGCAUUUAGAUGAGUUGCAUGCAUGAUGGGCAGCUAGUCUAGAGUCGUCUCCUUUAUUAAGUGUUGAGAAUCGUCAUUCGAGGACGAAUGAUCCAAAGGGGGAGAUAUUGUAAUACCCCGGAAACUAGUAGACUAAACUAGAGCCUUAAGUUAAGGUUCUAGAGUUUGAUAUGAGGCUUAGAGUCGUAGAUAAGACUACUCGUACUUAGAAUGAUGGGUUUAGGGGUUAAACGUCAAGGUACAUAUUACACCCCGUAGUUUAGUAGACCAUCUAGGGUUUAGUUGAGGGCUACAAGGGUCAAGGCCAAAGGGCAAGUGCCAAGGCAAAGGGGCAAAGCCCAAGCCAAAGGCAAAGGCUGCCCCACCCUUGGCAAGCACUGCCCCAAGUUCACGGCCAUCACCACGACCGGUGGUCUUGACCACAUUUCGUGGGAGGCCUUGUUAAGGUCCUUUAGACUUGUGGAGGAAGUCCUUGAGGCCAAGCCACCAGACCAUAGACCACAAGCCACUUCACGGCCAGUGGUCUUGACCACGGUUCGUGGGAAGGCUCGUGGUCAUGCCAUUGAUUUGUGGAGGCCAAACCAAGUGGCCUAGCUGGUCCAAGGACCACGAUCAAGACCACGGUCAGUGGUGAGGACCACGACCCUUGGUGCCUCUCGUGAAGCCUGGACAAUAGACCGCCAAGUGGGGCUAUUUUUGGGAAAUUCCAAAUAAGGUGGUUAUUGAGUAGGGUCGUUUUACCUAGAUUUAAAACACCUAUAUAAGAUAUUUUAACCCUUUAACCACCCAAUUAAUUCACUAUUUCAAAAGACCCAAAUCAAAACCCCAAAAUACUCUCCACUCAAAUAUUUCUCUCUCUAGAAAACUCAAGACUUGAUGAAGAAGAUAGAGCUUGAAGCUUAGGUCAAGAACAAGACUCCAUUGUUGCAAGAUUUUGUGUGGGAUUUGAAUCAAGGUGUGUUAGAUUAUUCAUCUAUGUAUUCUUCCAUCCAUAGAUCCCCCCCUAGAUUUCCCCCAAUUGUGAAGAUAAAACCCAAUUCUAGCUAGGGUUUCUUCCUAUGUUGUGGGUAGUGAUGGGUAUGAUUCCAAUUGAGUGGAUAGUACUUGUUUAUGAUUUUUUUUAGUAUUUAUUCAUGAUAUUAUGAUGAUAUUACAUAUUUUCCAUAGUUAAACCUAGUCUAAUUGAUGAAAUUGAAUCAUGUGGCGUGAAAGGUGAAAUUGAGGGUUCAUAGGUGAUCUUCUAGAAUUGAUGUUAUGAGUAGUAAUUGUCUAAGAAUAGAAACAUGUAAACAUGAAUUGAACUAGAAAGAUUAUAUGAUGGAUCUUGACUAGUAAUGAAGGAGAAUGAGUCUUUAUGAUGAAUUAUGACUAGAAUUGCUUAAAGAUGAAGCUUGUGACUUGAAUGUCUUGUGAUCUAGAUAUGAAUGAGUAUAGAAUUAAGUAAAGCUUUGAGAGUAAGGCUUGUUUUCAUGAAUGUUGAAUCACUAGGGCUUUGAGAUUAAAGCUAAUGUGAUGAAUAGAAGUCUAAUAGGUAGAAUUGUGGUGAAAGACCUAUACUCACCUAACCUACCUUAUAAAGGCUUGUAUGUAUAAAGUGAUAAGAUCACUUGAACAUGGAUUGACUGUCAAGGACAUCCUUCCAUGAGACAUGAAUGUUAAGCAAGGCUUAAUAGUGAAAUCUUGGGGUGUAUGCUUGGCCCCAAGUGGAUAUUGACAAUGAGAUGAAGUGUCACACAAGAUAGGGUCUGGGAUCCAAGUUAUAAGGAGAACCACACAUAGUUGAUGUGAGGACUAUCCAAGGUAAAUGGGGAACUCUUACGUAGUAGAGUGUGGAUUUUCAAAAAGUUAGGUCUCAUGAGAUGGAAGACUUCACAUAGUUGAGUUAAGGUUUCUAGUAGCAAUCUCCAUAUCCAAUGAACUAUGACAUACUUAAAGAAGUAUCUCCAAGUGUUCAAAAGCAUUAAUGGACUUAGACAUGCUUAAGGAAGUAUCUCAUAGGGUUCAUCUUAAUAAUGAAAUUAGACAUGCUUAAAGUAGUGUCUCAUAGGGUUCAACCUUAAAAUGAACUAAGAUGUGCUUAAGGAAGUACAUCAUUGUGUUCUAAGGUUUAAAGAGAGGAACUAGUCUCUAACUAAGGAUUGUGAGUAUGACGACCUAAUAUUGGUGCUUUGUAUGAAUGGUAUUAUGGGAUGUCAUUCAUGCAUUACACAAGUACAACUUAAGGUUAUUCAAGAAAGUGUUCUCUUAUAUGAUGUAUGUUUGGAUAGGAUUGUGCUAGAGUUGCCUUCUUUGUGAGUAUUGGCUAAAGGUGAGAGAUUCCUUUGGUUAUGAGAGUUCAGCUACAUAAUGAGAUCCUAAGGUGAUUAGGAUGAUGCCUAAGGUGGUACUUAGUGUGAGUAGGAUUAUUGGGUCUUACUCAUACAUUGCACAAGUAUGACUUGAAGCUACUUAUGAGAGUCUAAAGCUUGACUAGUGAUAUAGACUAUGUUUAGGAUGACCAAGCAGGGAUACUUAACUUGGAUGGGAUUAUGGAGUCUUGUCCAUGCUUUGCACAAGUAUGCAUUGAGGUUACUUGAAAUGGUUCUUUUAUGAGAUAAAAUACUAAGGGGGAAAUAAUGCUUAUAUGAUGCGUAUAUUGGAGACUUUACUUAUGAUUAUGAUAUUGUCUCUUAUUCUUAUAGUUGAUGUUUCUUGAAGUAUUGGAUUAUGUCUUAUGUUGACUAACCCUUAUGAUAUUAUGCUCUUGUGAUGUUGUGCUAGCAAUUAUAUUUAGUACUUUUGUACUAAUGCAUACUUUUCCUACAUUCUAGUCAAAUGUAGGGUUCCGAGAAUGAGUUCCAUUCUUGAGGAUAGGUUUCUAAUGAGCAAGGAGUUCAAGAUUUGGGUGAGUCCUCAUAGCUUUGAGGACAAAGCCACUAUUUCCUUUAUGUCUUUUACUUUCAUGUCAUGAGACUAUUGUAUGGGUUGCUUCCCAAAGGUUUUUAAUUCAAAGUUGAGUUUAGAUGGUUUGAGACAAAGUGUAGUAAAGACUUUCGCUUGCUUUAUAAAAGACUUCGAUUGUAUGGAUAAAGAUUUUUAAAAAUUUUCGUACUUUUCUAUUAUCUUAUGUUAUGAUACGCUAAGGGCUUGUAUGAGACCCCUUGGGGGUCAAGUACAGCGUGUUACUUCUAGGGUGUUCCCCUGGGUUGUGACAACCUCUAUCUGAGAUGAUAGACAAAGGAAAUCCAUGCAACCUGACUAUCUCAUUAAUGUAAAGCUUGGCGUAGUCCUCCGCCGUGUCUAUAGUCUUAACCGCCAAAAAGCGCGCAGACUUAGUAACUCUGUCAACUAUCACCCAAAUGGAGUCAUGUUGUCUGCGAGUAUGAGGUAAACGUGUAAUGAAGUCAAUGUUGAUCACUUCCUACUUCCAAGUAGGAAUGUUGAUCUCCUGAGGCAUACCCCCUGGUUUCUGAUGUUCUACCUUCACUUGUUGACAAUUGGGGCACUUAGCCACAAAAUUCGCUAUAUCCCUUUUCAUACCAUUCCACCAAAGGACCUCCCGCAGAUCACGGUACAUCUUAGUGGCACCUGGAUGAAUAGAAUACCUGGAGUUAUGGGUUUCUGUAAGAAUUUAAUGUCUCAACUCACCCACCUUAGGAACAAUUAGUAGACCCUGAUGGCGAAGCACACCAUCUCCCCCUUGGGAGAAAACCUCAGCCCUCUGCUGAUAGACUGCACCCUUUAGUUGAAGCAAUAUAGGAUCACUGUCUUGGUUUUCCUUAACCUCUGCUACCAAUGAAGAUUCUAACCCAUUCUGAACUGUUACACCACCAUCUGAUCUGCUCAUAAGGUGAACUCCCAAGCAAGCAAGCAUGUGAACAUCUUUUGCUAAUUCUUUCCUUUCUUCCUCAACAUGUGCUACACUACCCAUAGAUAGUAUGCUAAAAGCAUCUGCUACUCCAUUGGCCUUAACAGGAUGGUAAUGCACACUCAUAUCAUAAUCCUUGAGGAACUCAAGCCAUCUCCUCUAGCGAAGAUUCAACUCUUUAUGAAUGAACACAUAUUGAAGGCCCAAAUAGUCUGUGAACACAUUUACGUGAACACCAUACAAGUAAUGUCUCCAAAUCUUAAGGGAAAAUACCAUUGCUGCAAGCUUGAGGUCAUGAGUUGGGUAAUUUUUCUCAUGCACCUUAAGUUUUCUAGAAGCAUAAGCUAUAACCUUACCUCGUUGCAUCAAUACACAACCGAGGCCAACUCUGUAUACAUCACAAUAGAUCACAUGACCGUUUGAACCCUCUGGUAAAGUCAAAAUAGGAGUUGUAGUCAACUUAGUUUUCAGUUCUGUAAAGCUUUUCUCACAAUCAUCAGACCACUAAAACUUAACAUUUUUAUGAGUCAACUUAGUCAGUGGAGAGGCAAUGGAUGAAAAUCCUUCCACGAACCUUCUGUAAGAACCUGCUAAACCCAAGAAGCUUCUGAUAAUUGUAGGAGAGGUAGGUCUGGGCCAUUGUUUCACUGCUUCUAUUAUCUGAGAAUCCACUCGGAUCCCUUCGCUAGAUACAAUAUGACAAAGGAAAGCAACAGAUUGCAACCAAAAUUCACAUUUACUAAACUUAGCGAAUAAUUGGCGAUCUUGGAGAGUUUGCAGGACAACCCUCAAAUGAUUCACAUAUUCUUCCUCAUUCCUAGAGUAAAUGAGGAUAUCAUCAAUGAAGACGAUAACAAACAAGUCCAAAUACUGCUUGAACACUCUUUUCAUCAAAUCCACGAAACUUGCAUGAGCAUUGGUUAGUCCAAAUGACAUAACUACAAAUUCAUAAUGACCAUACCGAGUUCUGAAGGUUGUUUUCAGAAUUCCACUAUCUCUAACUCUAAGCUGAUGAUAAUCGGAUCUGAGGUCUAUCUUUGAGAAAUGACUAGCACCCUUGAUUGUGACUUUGUUCAACUGCUAAUAGUCAAUGCACAUCCUGAGAGAACCAUCUUUCUUUUUCACGAACAACACUGGUGCACCCCAUGGAGAAAUACUAGGUCUGAUGAAGCCCUUAUCAGGAAGGUCUUUCAACUGCUCUUUCAAUUCCUUAAGCUCAGCUGGAGCCAUUUUGUAAGGAGGAAUAGAAAUAGUCUAGGUAUCUGGAUGGAGAUCAAUUCCAAAGUCUAUUUCCCUUUCGGGAGGAACUCUGGGAAGAUCUUCUGGAAACACUUCUGGGAACUCAUUAACUACUGGAACUGACUCAAGAGUUGGGGUUUUGGAGCUUGAAUCCUUAACCCGGACUAGAUGAUAGAGAUAACCCGUAGAGAUCAUUUUUCUGUCCUUAAGGUAAGAAAUGAAUCGACCCAUAGGCGCUAAGGUACUACCCUUCCAUUCUAGGAUUGGUUCGUCUGGAAACUAAAAACGAACGAUCCUAGUUCUACAAUUGACAGAGGCAUAACAGGAAUGUAACCAAUCCAUGCCUAGAAUGAUAUCGAAAUCUACCAUUUCUAACUCUACAAGAUCUGUUGAGGUGAAUUUCUGGGAGACUGUGACAGGGCAGUUUAUGUAUACCCGUCUAGCAAUAACUGGGUCACCGACUGGAGUAGAGACUGAGAAGGGUUCUGAGAGAGUUUCUGGACUGACACCGAAGUUUACUACUAUAUAUGGAGUUACAAAGGAAAGAGUAGCCCCUAGGUCUAAAAAAUCAUAAACAUCUAAGUUAAAAAUUCAUAAUGUACCAGUGACUACAUAAGGAGAAUCUUCCUGAUCCUAGCGAGCCUAAAGAGCAUACAACCUGUUUUGGUGUUGUCUGCCACCUGUACCAGAUGACUUACCCUGCUUAGUCGGGCGACCUACUGGUGCUGCUGAAGUUGUAGACUAAGCCCUACCAUUAUUGCCUCUUUGACCCUGUUUAGCAGAAUGGCAAUCUCUCAACCGGUGACCAGACUGACCACACCCAAAGCAUCCUUCCUUUCCGGCAAGACACUCGCCCGGAUAGUUCUUACCACACUUUGGACAAGUUGGGUAGGUUCUUGUAACACCCUGUAACUAGAAAGAACUAAAAAGGAAUUUGAAAGAGGAAAUAGUCAUUUUUGGAGAGUAUAAAGAAAAUCUAGAAAUUGAUAAGUGUGUUAAAGUUGAGUUUUUGGUCAACUUCAAACGACCAUAACUUCUAGCUCAAGAUGAGUUAGGUGUGUUUCCAGAUAUCGUAGGAAAUAUGUUGGAAUGAUCUUUCCAAUGCUACCGAGUUUGCACAAUUCCGAGUUUGUAUGAGUGAGAUAUCCCUAUUGGAAGUUGGGUUAUUCGAAUAAGGAAAUGUCCAAUCCGGAUUUUAGAAGGGCAUUAUGGUCUUUUCCAUACCCAAUGACUUAAUUUCGUUUUGGUAAUUAAUUGGGGUCUAAACUGAUAAGAUUUAGUUUAUGCUUUUACGAUAUUGAGUUAGGGUUUUAGAAAAGAGAAAAUAAGAAGAGAAAGGAGGAGAAGGAGCAAGAAUUGUCAAGUUCUUCAAGAAUCGCUUGUCGAUUUCAUCAACGGGUGAUCCCUACGAGGUAUGUGAGUUCACACAGCGUUGGGUUCGUUCACCCACGCGCUAAACAUGUUUAAUUCAGCAUGAAUUCUUCCUAAAAGUUGAAAGUUUGAAUGUUCUCGAUGUGUGUUCUUGAAUUUACUUCCGUUCUUGAAUUUGGGAUGAGGUUGAGGAGUUCUUGAGAGUCUAAGGUCGAUUUUAGAGUUGUAUUUGAUUAGAUUCUUGUGUACAUAUGCAAAUCUGGGUAGCAUAUCCGCGACGCUAACCUAUUACUAAGGAUUGGAAAAAUAUUCCUCGUGUCGCGGAGCGGUAACGGACCGUUCUGCCACAAAAUUUAUUUCACAACCAAAUAAUUAAAUGCAUCUCCGCAUCCCGGACUUGCUUAUAGAUAGUGAUUUCUUGAUCCUUUCUCCUGUUUAACUAUCUAAAAACACUCCUAAACAUCAUGAAAUCUUUCCUAUCACAAAUCUCAAUCCUUGAAUCCAUAAUUCAAUUUAAAGAUCAGUUAAGAUCCCAGUCAAAAGAAGUUAAGAGCCAAGUCAAGAGAAGUUCAUAGAGUCUUCCAAAAGUCUUUUACAAAAGAUUUAACUUUGUUUUAAGACUUGAGUUUUGAGUUGAGUAAAGAGUAAAUUUGAAGUUUAGUUCUUCAAAAGUGUAUAUGGAGACUAUGUAUUCCUAAAGAGUUUAAAAUGUUUUCACAUUUAAAGAAGAAAGGAAACCUUGAUUUCCAAAAAGAGCCUUUGAGCUAGUUUUCAGUAAAGAGUAAGUCUUUUCACAUUUAAACGAGAAAGCAAACUGAGAUUUCCAAAGAGUCUUUAAGCUAGUUUUCAGUUAAAAAGUAAAUGCUUUCACAAUUAAGAAAGAGAGGAAACGUUGAUUUCCAAGAUAGCCUUUGACCUAAGUUUUUGAGCAAUUAUCUCAAAUCACAGAAAGAAGUAUGUUUUUAAACAUUAGAGCUAGUAUAAUAUUAUGGGAGUAGUAUUGAGCACCGAUAUCGGGGAGAGUUCAGACAACUCACAGCCCCCAUAAACCAUGUAGCCACCAUGGGUAGAAAAGGAUCAUAGUUUUAGAUGAUUCCUUAGUGCCUUUUAGCAUAGACUAGUGGAUCCACUUAGUAGUUCAGGUUCUAUACUCAUGGCAAGGUAUAGGACGGCCCUGGUAGCGUGAGGCAAAAUGAUGUAUCAUCACGAUAGCACUUAAGUGAUGGUUGUCGGUUAGAGAAACUCCCACAGAAGUAAUUGUAUUUUUAUAUACACAGUUUAUUUGUAUUUUACAUACAUUUCGGAGUUAUAUUGUAUCUUUGCAUACACACAGAAUAUUAUUGUAUUUCCAAAUACACAGAGUUGACAUACAUGUUUUUAACAGCUUUUCCUUAUAUUGCACUUGUUUUAAACUACUUUAUAUUGAAAUGAGUUCAGUUAUAUGGAGUUGAGUUGAGCGAUGUAAGUUCUUCAGUUCCUUUCAAGCUUAUGUCUUGUUUUAGAAUUCCCUUCGCAAACUCGUACAUUCAAUGUACUGAUGUCAUUUGGCCUGCAUCUUAUUAUGAUGCAGACACAGGUAACCAGGAUCAUCAUCCAGCGCGUCGUUGAUCCAGUUGAGCAUUUAGAGUCAGUUCGUGAGCCUCCUUUCUUUCCGGAGAGCUCCUUUGUUAUCAUUUGCUUUUUAGUAUUUAAAUUAUUAGGAUGAUCGGGGGUCUUGUCCCGACAUCCAUCUCAGUUGUUUUAGAGGCUUCAUAGACAGUCAGAUGUUAGUUCUUGAAUUUCUAUUUCAUGUUUUAAUGGUUGAGACUUGAGUUGCCAUUUUGGCUAAGUUUAAUAUUCCUUAAAGAUAUUUGCAUAAGUUAUCCUUUGAGACUAUUUCUUGUGUUUAGGUCUUCCGUUGAGUAAGUAAGCCAAGCCAAGGGUUCGCUUGGGCCAAUAAUGGUUCUCGAGUGACAGCCACGUCCGGGGUGUAGGCUCGGGGAGUGACAGUUCUUGUGCCUGAAAUACUCCCUAAGACUUAGAGCCUGAUGCCUUACCUUUCUGAUCCUGUCAAAACCUGGAAGAUGGAACACUAGCUGAUGAAUGUGCUGGAGCUGAAGACUUUUGCUAAAACUGCGAGCGAUUUCCACCACCCGAUUUCUGUUGAGAAUACUCAUAGUUUCAUGUCCUAGCCUUCUUGUUAUCCUUAGCCUUUUCCCUAAGCUUAUCUCCCUCAACCUGCUGAGCAUGAGUCAUGAGCCUAGAGAUGUUCAUAUUUUCCAGCAACAUAGCAUUCCUACACUCUGUUUUCACUAAGUCGGAUACCUCGUAUAGAAACUUGUUCAUAUGAGCCCUGGAAUCGGCAACCAUGUGAGGAGCAUACCUGGAGAAUUGGGUGAACUUAAGUCCGUACUCUUGGAAUGGCAUGCUAUCUUGCCUCAAAUUCAUAAACUCCUGAGCUUUUGCCUCCCCCAACUCUCUUGGGAAGAACAUGUCCAGAAAAGUCUCACUAAAGCACUCCCAAGUGAUAGGAGUUGCAUCCACACCCCUGUUUUCUUUCCAUUGAGUGUACCAUAUGUGAGCUACAUCCUUAAGCUGGUAGGAUACUAACUCCACCCAAUCAUUUCCAGUCACUUGCAUCACUCCAAAGAUCUUCCUGACCUCAUCUAUGAAGUUUUGGGGAUCCUCACCAAUCUGCGACCCUAAAAACUCAGGUGCAUUCAUCCUAACAAAAUCACGAACCCUGGAUGCCACUGAUCCACCACUAGCAUUUGCAGGAACUGGAACCUGCUGGUUGUUCUGGUUGGUCACACUCUAAGCCAAAACUGAAUGGCAUUUCGAAACUCAGCAUUCAAAACUUCCUGAUCUGGGCCUGGAGGAGUUGUGGUAGCAUUGUGUGCAUUCUCAUUCCUUUUGUAAGCUCUACAAGGAGGCAAGAUCUGAAAGCGCAUAACGUCGAGUUAGAAACAAGGAAUUAGAUCAUACCUUACACAUGAUAAGAAUAACAAGAAAGUGAAGUUUUCCUAAAACACUUUGCAGCCUCCUUCUCAUUAGAUGUGGUGAACUUCACGCCCAUGACAAGGACUUUACUUAGUGCGGCUUUUCAGAUAUCCUAGGACUCUUAAACCUAAUGCGCUAAUACCAAGUUUGUCAUUCCCCGAAGCUACCCCCGGGACGCAGACACAGGACCUAGGAUCAUGAGUGACCCAAGCUAACCCUGAGCUGGCAUAUCAUAAGCAUACUAAAAGAUUACUAAAUAAAAUAUAAUGUACGGAAGCUAGAAACAUAUCAUAAAAUGAAAUGAUGGGGAAAUACCUAUUUCUAUUCUCUGUGAUUUUAAUGACAACUGCAAUAUCAAACUCAAAAGAUAAAAACUGAAUCUAACUAUGUCUGAAAUAAAGCCUCUAACUGACUAGAGAUGCUGGGACAUGCCCCAGCUAAGUCUAGCAAAACUGAAACGAAAGAUUGAAAGGAAAAGAAAUAACCAUGUCAAUCGUCCUCGAAGAAUGAGGACUCACCACUGAUGCUGCUGAACUGGAGAUCGGGAGUCAAUCUAUGCGUGAUCUGAAUGCUAAGGACCUGAACUUACAUCACGAGAAGAUGUAGCGCAUAGUAUGCGACAAUACUUGACAGGUACUGAGCAUGCAAGGAUAGAAUAAAGCUGAACAAUGUACAUAAUUGAACAAAGCAUAUAACUGAGCACUAAUACAAGAUGAACAUGAUACUAUACUGAAAAUACUAAACAUGAACGAACUGAAUGCAAUGACCAAGUUUUAUAACAUGCUGAAACUGAAUAUUGAACUGUACUGAUAACCUGGUCAAUGCAAUAUAACCUGAUUGUGGAAGCUACUAAUAACCGACAUAAAAUCACAUGAGCUAAAUGUGAAGUAUGAUGUAUACACCCCAUCGAUAGGAUCUAAUACACCCUGUCAGAGGUAUAGAGGCAUGACUGGUGUGAUCACUAAAAUGUAAUGCCCAUAGAGGGACUUAUAAACCUACAUGAGCACAUAGUUCUGGGACUAUUCGGGUACGUUAAACCAUUGUCCACUCGGUCUAAGCCUACUCCCUAUUAGAAUGUAUGUAAGCAAUAUUAUGACUAAAAUACUGAAGUACUGGAUAGCUCAAUUACUGACAUGCAAACUCUAAGACUGCAACAAUUAUAACUGAUAAUGUGUCAUUCGUAAGUUGAAGCAUGUAUAUCUGUUUAGAUAUAUGAUAAUCAGAUUUGGAUCAUUCUAAUAGCUAAAACCCAACAAUUUCUAACAUUCAAGAAACCCUAGGUCUAGAUAAUAUUAAGGGAAUCAAGAUUCUGACUGAAAUCUAGGGACCUAAUAGGUGAUAGGAACCCACUAGUGAAAUCCCACAUACUUGGUGACGAAUUCCACGGAGAAAUCUUUCGAUUUCGAGGUUGGAACUGACGAGAACUUGUUGUGUUCUUAAACUAGGGCUGCUCGACUUUUCUCUCUAAUUUGCUCUAAGUUUACUUUAUUUUGGUGAAAGAUUUAUUAGGAUAAGUUCUUACUAGUUUACUAGGCUAAAACUGAGCAAAACCAUGUAGUUUAGGGGUUAAAUGACGUAGUUUAGGUGUCCAACACAUAGGGAAAAGACCAAACGACCCUGACUUAAAAGUUGUCGGGGUCACCGAUAGACCAGACCGACGGACCGUGGAUUGAUUGAUGGUCCGUUCUGGUCGGUCGUCGCUCGGCUUCAGAGAUUGAAAUCUGAGGGUCUGACCUAUGGCCCUCGACCAUGGACCGUGGUCUGACCUACUGUCCGUAGGUCCUGGCGUAGGCUGACCUUUAGCCGAAUUUUCUAGGGAUUCUUGAAGGUGGUUGCAGGUGGUGAACCACGGACCAAUAGGACGGACCGUGGGUCACCCUACGGUCCGUGGGUGGUGCCCGUCGAUGGGACCUGCAACUUCCGAAAUCUGUAUUUUGAUAGUUCUAGCAUACGGGGUGUUACAUAUACAUAAUGCGUAUUAUUAGAUAUGUGUACUCUUUUUCCUUCACUAGAUUUUUUCCCACUGGAUUUUAUCUAGUAAGGUUUUAACGAAGCAUAUAAUCUAUCAAAUAGACAUUAAGGGGGAGUGUUAAUUAUAAACAUAUUUGUAUUAUAGUGAAUGUCUAUUAUGUGGAGUUUGUUAGAGAAAAGUUAGGAAUCCUACUUGGAAACCAAGUCAGCUUUUCCCUAUAAAUAAAGGGAUUUUCUUUCAUUGUAAAUCAGAUUUGUGAAUUACUUCAAGAGAAAUAAUAAAUCUUCUCUACUUUCUUCUUAUUUUAUAGUUUCAUAACAAAUAUAAUAAUACAUAAUAUAUAAGGAGUGCAUAUUGCGAAUUGUGAACGGCAAAGGAAGGCAUGAUGUCACGUGGCAACUAAUCAAGGCACCCUCAAAUUUUACAAAAUUCUAAUUUCUUUUGGUUUUGGAUUCCUAAUUUGAUUUGGACUCGGUUAUUUUAUUUAGGGUUUUCUAUAUCUAUAAAUAGUCCAUAGAAAUAAUUAUUUUUGAGGGAGGAUCAAUUAGACGGCAUCAAAGUAUAAAGUUGUCAAUACUUUUUAGGGUUCUUUUCUUUCUUCUUUUCUCAGACAUUAGUAGCUAAAGACCCUUAUUCUGGGUUUGUGACUAUGGGUGAUUGUCAAACAUCGAUUGUUUUGAAUUGAUGUUGGUUAUCACUUAAAAUUACUUUUGUGUUCUUGUUUUAGUAUUUCUUGACUGGACAUCAUAUAGAUAAAUCUCUUGUCUACUCUUAAGCUCGGGAGACGCUAAGGUAGAUAGACCAAAAGAUACAAAAAGCUUGAUCUUCCAUUAAAUUGAAUUGAUUUGUAUUUAAGAGUGACGCCUGGACGAACACCUAGCUUGGUUACAAAACAAGAUGAAAUAUAAAAGCUCGCCAAUUAGGACUGUCUAUCCCUGCUCAACGAUGUAGUUAGACAGCUAAUUGGAGUAGGCGAUUAAAGGUCGGGAGACCAUGAUCAUAAAAUCAACCAUGUAAAUCAGUAGUUUGAUAACCGUAGUUAAUUCAUGCAUGAGAUGUGAUACAUGAAACCCUAUACAUGUUGCAACCCUGAAAAUUUUCAAAUCACAGUAAGUAAUUUUAUUAUUUCAUUCCUGCAUUCUUUUCUUUACAAAUAAAAAUCAAACACUUUUGACAGUCUUAAAUAAAUAAUUAGACUAGUAUAAUUUAGUAAAAAUAGUUAAUCGACAAGUCAUUUGGGUUCGAUAAUGCGGUUCUUUUAAGAGCCACUAUAUUACUUGUGCGACCACGUACACUUGUGUGUGCAAUUGGGAGCAACAACAUCCAAUUAUACUAAAUUUCAAUUACAUUGUGGCUUUUCAAACAUGUCCUAAAUAUUAAUCUCAAUACCUUAUUAGUUACUGUAUUUGCUUUUAACCUUCAAUUCAAACUUCACAUUCACUUUGAGUUCACAACUCCACGUUAUACAAAAUGUCAAAAUCUAAAGUAAGAAUUUUAUUCCUCUUAGGGGUCGUUUGGUUGGGAGUAUUAACAUAAACAAUCCAUGUAUUAUGUAUGGUAUUAUUUAAUACUAUGUUUGGUAGUAAUUUUGGGCCUAUGUAUAACUAAUCCGUGAAUUAGUUAUACACCGCACAUAGUAUUAUGAGAUGUAUUACUAAUACCUUCUAUUUGGUAGUAUUAGUAAUACAAAUGAUUUAAUACCAUGAGAUAAUUUAUGUAAAGACAAAACUAUUCCUCAAAUCAUUUUAAUUAUAUUAUUUAUUUUCUUGAUUUUAUGUUUAUAUUUGUACUACUAAAUUCAUUUAAAUAAAUUAGCUUACAAAUUAUUUAGAAAGAGUCGUUUGUUGCUAAAUAAAUUCAAUACAAUAUUUGAAAUGUGAGUUGAUUAACAUUUACUAAUAAAAAAGGUAAAUAUGGUUUUCUAAUUAUUUAUAUUUUGAACAAUUUAUAAAAUUGCAUACAUAUUAAAUUACAACUUGCAUUCUUUUUAAGGACAAAUGUAGAUGGUUUAUUCGAUUCUACUAUUGUUUACUGUCUUUUCGAUUUUAAAACUAGAUGGUCUAUCUUUUUUAAAUUAAAAAUUGACAUUUUGUGAGUGAUCAAUUCAUUAAGAUGACAACUAUGUACCUUCAAAUAAUUCAAGUGAGAAAAAUAGACAUGACAACAAAAUUGUUCUUCUCCUAGUUAGCUAGAAGACCAUACAAAAAAUAUAUUGUCCGGCAAUCAUCUACUUGACCCAAAUACAUAAUAAUUCAGGGAUAUAACUGAAAAAAACUUCUUUUAUAGAAUUUUAAUUCAAACACAAAAUGAGGUGAGAAACAAUGAACCAAACACUUGAUAAAAAUAAACCCUGUAUUACUAAUUCAUGCUUUAUUAAUCUCCGCAUUAUUAUUAUUUGUACCAAACAACCCCUUAAUUUCUCUUUGUUUUAGUAUAAUUCUUGUCAGGUCAGUUACUAUUGUUUCUAUUUAUGGGUAUAGUAAAGUUAAACUAUUAUCUUGUCUUUGUUAAAUUGUUGGAGAAGUGUACAUUUAUUUUAUAAACAUUUUCUUAUUAGUUAAAAUGAAAAUUGAAUUAAAGAUUAAAACUGAUAAACAAAAAAUUCAUAAAAAAUAUCCUCUUAUUUGAUUAUUAAUUUAACAUAUCAAAAAGUAAAAAAUGAAUAAAUCGAAUUAAUAAUACAUAAACCGAACUAUCUGGGAAGGUCUAUUAAAAGGGACAAACUAGUUAGUCAAUUAGGUAGGAGUCCUUCAAGUCUUAAAAAUUGGGUAGAAGUGACAAAUAAUAUUAAUUAGGUUAAAAGAUGUUUCUCAAUAGUCCCAAGCUUUUAACUUUUACACUUUAGUCCAACAACUAUCGUAGUUGUGGGGACAAUUUCUUUAGUCGUCCGACAACUUCAGUAGUUGUCCAGACAACUUCAAUAGUUGUCCGGACAACUUCAGUAGUUGUCCAGACAACUACGAAAGAUGUUAUUAGUUUAAGAUGUUAUUAGUUUACUCCUUUUAUUAAUAUUAAAAAUAAAAAAGUAGAAAAAAAAUAAAGGGGCCCACUUGUCCCUUUUUUUAAAUUGGAAACCUAUAAGGCACUUUUAGCUCAUUUUCCCGAACUAUCUAUACACACCCUGAGAAAAGAGGAACUCGUGAGCAUUUUUGCUCUGUGAAAAAGAAGACUUUUCCUUUGGUGCACAAAACCUAAACACCACGCCACCAAAGCAGACUCUGGUUAGAGAGAAAGGGCAUCGGAAUCCAUGGCUCGCCAAGCCACAAGACUGAUAUCUAACUUGAGUACAAAGCUCAACCCUAGCAGUCCGACGAUAUCUGCUUCUCCAUUAUGGCAUCAGUAUCGCUACUUUGGAUCGCCACCACCGCCGCCCGCUGUUUUCGUUGAUAAAAACACCCGCGUCAUAUGUCAAGGCAUCACCGGCAAAAACGGCACUUUCCACACUGAACAAGCCAUUGAAUAUGGUACUAAAAU
rnacentral:lncRNA from 1 species